rnacentral:rRNA from 1 species
UACGUAGGUGGCAAGCGUUGUCCGGAUUUACUGGGCGUAAAGAGCGCGCAGGCGGUCGUUCAAGUCGCGUGUGAAAGCCCCCGGCUCAACUGGGGAGGGUCACGCGAUACUGAUCGACUCGAAGGCAGGAGAGGGAAGUGGAAUUCCCGGUGUAGUGGUGAAAUGCGUAGAUAUCUGGAGGAAUACCGGUGGCGAAGGCGGCAUCCUGGACCGACAUUGACGCUGAGACACGAAAGCCAGGGGAGCGAACGGG